GAUCCUGGCUCAGGAUGAACGCUAGCUACAGGCUUAACACAUGCAAGUCGAGGGGCAACAUGGUCUUAGCUUGCUGAGGCUGAUGGCGACCGGCGCACGGGUGAGUAACACGUAUCCAACCUGCCGUCUACUCUUGGCCAGCCUUCUGAAAGGAAGAUUAAUCCAGGAUGGGAUCAUGAGUUCACAUGUCCGCAUGAUUAAAGGUAUUUUCCGGUAGACGAUGGGGA
rnacentral:rRNA from 1 species